CGCAGGAAGAGAGCCCAGCUCCGAGGUGGAGGGGGCGGGCCGGGCCUUGCGGAGUGACAGGCCGCUUCACCUACCAGGAACCCCGAGCGCCAUGCAAAUACCGGCGCUUCGCCCUGGGCUCAGCAGCCAACCCACUCCCAGGACACGGGGGUGUGGAAAGGGUUCGGGGCGGUGCAGAGCGUUCGGGAGUUUUGCUAUUGGUUGCGGGCUCUGGGGGGCGGAGCUAGGGGGCUGCAGACCGAGCAGAUGGUGAAGGAUGCUGGAGCGCGCAGCGCUGGGAGAGGCCGGGCCCGGCGAAGUGGUGCGCUCCGGCAGCCGCACGCAUUUCCGCACUCGCUCCCCAGGAGCCGGCCGCCGCUAUAGCUGCCCAGAUGUUAUAGAUGCAGAUGUUUCGCGGGCGGGCUGGUGAUGAUUGCACGUUGCCGGGUGGGGAGGAGAUUGGAAGAGCGACAGCCAGGCGGGAGAUGCCCCACACCCGCCCAUCCCAAAUCAACAACUCGGAGAGGGCCCCUUGCCGGACCCGCACCGGUUUAGGAAGUUUAAGUGGAAAGCAGGCAAAGUCCACUCGAAGCCGAAGCCGCGCUCCUGGGUGCUCUCCUGCAAAAGGACCGUGCGGGGGCGGGGGUGCGGGGAAGGCAAGGAAACGCCCCUGCUCGCUGGGGGAAGCGGGCUAGGGGCGCCGCACCCCGCGGAAUCCUUGCCCCGGCAUCGGCAUUAGGAAGCUCGGGGCUCUCGAGUCCAUCCUGAUCGCGCUCAGAAAGUUUUCCGAGGCGGCCCCCGCGCCCCGCAGGGCCAGCAGGCCUCCAGCGCCCCGACGCGCGCCGUUCCGGGACAGGACGUUCCUUCCGACUCCGAUCCCAGCGCAGCCCCCGGGGGCUGAGUGUCGCCACGAAGUGACCCACGAGGGCCGCCGCCCGCGCUGGCUUGCAUCCUCCCGGCAGGCUGACCCCGACUGGCCACCGGGCCGGCGCACUAUUCCCUCCUUCCUUCCUGAAUAAGUGUCCCCAAGGAUCCCCGAGUCCCCGCAGCGCCGCCCUGGCUCCGGUUCCCCUCCACAGGAAAGCCAGUCUGCCCUUAGCACCUCCGGCCCCAAAACGUGCCGGAGAGGGGCGGCGAGGACCCGGGUGGGUCGGGUGACAUUCUCAACCACGGCACCGACGCGCCCCAGCGGGCUCGGCGCCGCCUCUUGAUAACUAGCUUGAGCCCAAGACAUUUUCCUACAAAACUGUUGAGGGGGAAAUAAUUUAGGUGUGGGAUUUGCCUCUCUUUUCUAUUCGCAGAGAGAAUUUAUUUCCAAGCCUUUCCAUCCUCCUCUCUCUGGGAUGUGGUUUGUUCUUCGCAAGGGACAUAUACGCUCUUCUUUUUUUUUUUUUUAAACUCAUUUACUACUAAACCAUCUUUAAUUUUUAAAACAUGAUAACAAAUCUGUUAAUGAGCACUGGCCCCUUCUUUUUAGUUUGAAAAUACGAGCGGGAAAUCUGACUGUCUCCGAAGAGAAUGUUUUCAAUGUCGUGUUAUUUAAGGAAGAAAUGAAAUCGCUGCCUUCGAUCUUUAGCCGUCUAUGGGUUUGCUGGCUUUUGUGGAUUUUUAUUUUUUGAUGUAAUGGUUCAUGAUUUGUGUGUGAUCAGGCGAACUGUAGCUUCUACGUGGCUAACUUCAGGCCUGGGCGUGAUUAUAUUAUAAUCUUAAUAAAAAUGAUCUCUGUCUUGA